AUUCACAUCGGCAUGUUUUAUUUUCUUUUGUCUCAGGAGAUCCACUUUCUUUGUUUCUCAAGGUGCACGUGGCCGAUGUGGGAGCCCCUCAGUUGGGAAGUUUACAUUGCCUCAGACCCAGCAGACGGCACUAAGGAUAGCUGUUCUUCUGGUGGAGAGAACAUAUGAUUGGUCAGCUAUACAUCUGGAUCCGUCUCUGGUCCAACCACUGAUCACUGAUGAGGCUCUUCAGCAGUUCGAACGAGAGAGGCCGGGCUGCCAAGGCGUACUGAGCAUGUCUCGCGUCCUCGGGGAUUUAUACAGCUGUAGAAUACUGCCACCGAAGGCAAGUGAAGACAUGAUCUCCAAACCCAGCUUUUUCAGGUAUCCUGGCAUCGUCAGAGUUCUCUUCCCCUCGUCUUUGGAAAGUUUUGCAAGCUGGGCCCCUCCUGUGUGUAGCCAACAAUGAUGUUUUGUGUCUUCAUCCCGUUUGAAGGGCCUGGCACACAAACAGCCCAGCCUAUUCAUUCCUAGAGCAAUUUUACAUAUGCAAGACCGAAGCCAAGAUUAAUGUCUUCAUCCUCGACGUGCUCAUUCAGACACGUUCUGAGAGAGAGAGCAUGAGCUGGGAGAGGAGCAGAGGGAGAGAGAAUCCCAAGCAGGCUUCACGUGCAGCACAGAGCCCGACACGGGGCUCGAUCCUGGACCCUGGGAUUACGACCUGAGCCAAAAUCAAGAGUUGGGCGUUAAACUGACCGAGCCACCCAGGUUUUGCAGUGUGCUUGCAAGGAGCCGCUUAUUCAAGCAGACCAAGAAAACGUGAGACUUUCUACGCGUGUGUUCACUUCACAACCAACAUGUCAAUGCCCGGAUAGUUUUAUUUCUGGUGACCAGCGAAAUAGAUGAAAGGAAGAACGGUGAUUAUCAGAAGGCAAGCCAGUGAUUGUUAAAAGCCAGCUGUGUUUGUGUGUCCACCACCGUGCUGAAAGAUCGUUCUGGAGGCUGGACGUCCCAGAUCACGGGCCCAGUACAUUCAGUACUGGGUGAAGACCCGCUUCCUGGUUCAAGGACGUCUGUCUUCUCACUGCGCCCUCACGGAGGAGGACAUAAAUAAAUAUUGACGUGAAAUGACCAGUCUAAGAGGCGUGAUCUCUGUUGGCCAUUUGGAUGAGAAGUGCAUUUGCUUCCUGACACUGUGGACAAGCCACAAGAAGUGAAGGAGUCCUGAGUUCUCUCCUCCAGGAGCGUUCAGGGCGUCCGCACACUCUCAGGAAACCACACCACAGUUUGUUUUUUGACAGAGAAGGGGAGGAGCAGAGAGAAUCCCAAGCAGGCUCUACACUGUCAGCACGGAGCCCAACGUGCGGCUCGAACUCACAAACCAUGAGAUCCAGACCUGACUGAAACCCAGAGCCGGACAGUCAGCCUAUUGAGCCACCCAGUGAACGCCACAAACUUUGGGAACCACUUAAGAAAACAUGAAAGGAACGAUGUUGGCGAGCAUGAGUUGGGACAAGUCAAAUCCAGUAAAAAGCUGUAUUUCUGCAGACCCACUGACAUGUUUUAUCUUACUACCUUAAAGUUAUGUGAUCAAGAUAGGAUUCUAAAAAUACCCCACUUGCUGCUUUAGAAAAUAGUCCAAAGAAAAAUGUUCUGCUGAAAUAGCAUAUAUCAACAUGUGAGACAUGUGGGGCCAUGCCUUUGGAAAUCUUAGACUGUCCUGCUAGAUCACAGACAAGUUGCUGGCAUCGAUAUUCUGGACACCUCACCGCCCUCUGCACCGUUUUGUUGUUGGUCCCUUGAUGGCCCUCUGUAACUCGUGCAUCAGCCCCAAAUAUUUGGAAUAACACACUGGCUGGUACCGAAGGGUUCCUGCCUGCAAGGACGUAGCGUUCUAUUCAAGUGAAAAGUCAGAAACGGUCCUGGCACACCGUGUGCGACUCAGGGAACGUCUUUCCUUCCCCGGACGAGGAGGAAUUAGCCAGUGACGCGGCAGAGCAAGAUGGGGCAUGACAGGGUCGGACGGAAGUUCACAGGCACCGUCCCACCCGCAGAUCGUGCUGCCAACCCAGGACUCAGAACAAUUCAAAGCUUCUGUCCAACUAAGUUGAGACACACGGGGGGUCUCAGAAGCGUUUCCCCCCUGACCUGGGAGUUCCCCACGAACCGCGUCUGCAGCCUCCGCGUUUCAGGCCCUGCCGUGUGCCCCCACGGGACGGAGCCCUCAGCGGAUACUGCAGGACUGAACACAAGGACCGUUGUGUUUUCACUUGUACCUCGCGAUCACCCAACAGCUAAUCCGUGAGAACGAGCUGUGUGCGUCGUACCCUGGGCACAGCUCGCAGUCUGCUGUUUCCGCACAUUGAGGGAAGUGAAAUCGCGCUGAGAAUCGGGCGGUGUGACCGUCUCUUACCUGGGUGAUGCCAGAAGAGGUCUCUGCUGCGGCACUGCGGUUGUGGGCACAGACCUCCGGGAGCCACUGCACGUGGUAUCGGUCGACGCUGAGAUCUGUAAGGUCAGAGGGCAUAGAGAGGACGGUCUGGAGCCACGUGCCGCACAGCCCGCGGCUCUCAGAUCGCGACAACGGGCAGGAAGGAAAUGAAGCUGUGGAAGUGAGCCACAAACGCAGACACAGAGCCGAGGAGGCGAGCGGGCCUGCAGAACUCACUGUCGGGAGGAAAGCCUGGGGGGAAACCUGGCGAAAUGCGAGAACCAACCGGAAAGCACAGGAAAGUCACAGCCACGGGGCUGUCAGGAGGUCUUGAGAGAAACGUAGCCGCGGGGUCGGCGCUGAGCGGAACCCCCACAAGACAGGGCGGCACUCAGCCGUGGGCGUCUUUGCUCCUGGGAGAGGGAAUGAGCAUCCCGAGUGUGAAUCCCACAGGUGGCUGACAUAGCCGAUAGACCCAGGCAAAAUCAAAGCAUUUUCCUCACGCUGGGAGCACUGAGCAGUCAGACGAGCUCCCCUGUGUGCCUCACACGUCCCCCAGCACAGACCCAGGUGGGCACCUUUCCCUUCCAGCGUGCACAGGUGCAUAUCCUCACACGCCCGUGUGUCUGAUCUCUGCGGAACCCCGACUUGCUGUCCAAGACAGAACGUGGGUUCCCUGGCACAGUGUGUCCACUGUCCACACGUGGCCUCACUUGGGGCAAAUCUCUCAGAUAAAGGACAGACUGAUGACGAGUCCCCCGCCAAGCAUGGGAAGAGGAGGUCUGGCCGGCAUCAGGUUUAUUCACCAACCCGCGUGCCCGAAGGUGUGGAAAGGCACUGCUCUGCCACUGAUUAACGCCGCGUCCCCGCUGUUUACGCCAAGUAUUUAAUGGAGGUUUCCAGAGGGUUAAAGCUUUGACGGGAUUGGGUGGUUCUAGUGGGAAUUCACUUGGAGCACUUUGGAUCGAGAAAAGAGGAGCUUUUCAAUCAGAGAGGACGGGCGGAUAUCAAGCGGGCACCAUCAGUUCCGGGAACCACUUACCAGAGGUUUUAAGAUUUACACAACAGGCAUCGGGGCUUUUUUUUUUUUUUUUUCCAGGGGAAGAAUCGUACAUGAUACACAAGAAUGAAGUCAAUGAAUGAAUUCAUAUGCUUUCUUUCAAGUGGUGCCGUUCCAGGUAUACAAACCGCUGCUCUCGGGACUUAAAAGCUCACAGAGCUACAUAAACAACAAACAAAGCAUGUAAAUGUACGUUAGGCUAGAAGGUAAUUUGGCUACAGUUUAAUACAGAAGAUAAGCAGGCAGGUGUGUUGCCAAAGGUUAUGAUUGUGGAUCCAUUCACUGGCUUAUCUGCAAAGACAGAACUUUGCAGUGAACGUGGGGAGGAGGCCUGGAGGUUGCUGUGGGCAGAGCACGAGGCCGUGAGCAGGCCGUCUGCCUGCCACUGCCCAGCUACGGUGUCUGCAAUGACGAAAAUACCACGCAUGUGGUGGCCCCUAGUCACUCAUGCCUGUAAAGCAACUGAAGUUCGUGGGUCCAAGCCCCGCGUCGGGCUCUGUGCUCAUAUCUCGGAGCCUGGAGCCGACUUCGGAUUCUGUGACUCCUCUCUCUGCCCCUCCGCCUCUCACUCUCUCUCUCUCUCUCAAAAAUAAACAUUAAAAAACAACAUUUAAAAAUAUUUAAAGACCUUAUCUCCUUUCAUGCUAUAACAUUGUUUAUGAUUGUAGAAGCUUGAAAUAGACUUUUACUUACUUUUUCUGGGUGAGCUUACAAUAUUACAACAUUUACAAUAUGCACUUUCCCUCUUUAAUAACUUCAAAAUGGCUUGUUACUGACCUCCUUGGCAUAGCAACCUGAUACUUGGGAUCAUUUCCUCAUUAACAACACUGGCAAGAAGAAACUGCUCUAGGGGCCUUGCCAACUAAAUUUUGUAGCAAUAAGGAUAACGAAAAAUACCUUUCCCAGCAAAACAAGUGACAAGAAAGGUCAAAGAGAAAAUUUAAGGGACGUAGAUAAGAACUGAAAAUUGUAUCUUGGGGUGCCUGGGUGGCUCAGUCGGUUAAGCGUCUGACUUCAGCUCACGUCAUGAUCUCACGGCUUGUGGGUUCGAGCCCCGCAUCGGGCUCUGUGCUGACAGCUCGGAGCCUGGAGCCUGCUUCGGGUUCUGUGUCUCCCUCUCUCUCUGCCCCUUCCCUGCUCAUGUUCUGUCUCUCUCUCAAAAAAUAAAACAUUAGGGGCGCCUGUGUGGCUCAGUCGGUUAAGCAUCCGACUUCAGCUCAGGUCACGAUCUCACGGUCUGUGAGUUCGAGCCCCGCGUCGGGCUCUGGGCUGAUGGCUCAGAGCCUGGAGCCUGCUUCCAAUUCUGUGUCUCCUUCUCUCUCUGCCCCUUCCCCAUUCAUGGUCUGUCUCUCUCUGUCUCAAAAGUAAAUUAAAAAACAUUUAAAAAAAUUUAAAAAAAAAUAAAGCAUUAAAAAACAUUUUUUUUAAAUAUUAUUUUGUACAGAGACAGCAGGUGGUAAAGAGAAUGAGAUGAUAGUAUGUGGCCAAUAAGUAAAAACUGUAUGUUGACACUUGAAAAAAUAAAAAAUGAUUUUUUUUGAGUCAAUAAUUUUAAAUUACAGGAGCAUCAGCAAACGAAAUCUGUACUCACGUCUCACACUCAUGACAAUGACUUAACUGAUUUUGGCUCUGCUGUGAAAAAGUCACUCUAAACGCAGGCAGACAGAAUAAAACGGGUCACCCGCCA